UACAGAGGUCCCAAGCGUUGUUCGGAUUCAUUGGGCGUAAAGGGUGCGUAGGCGGCGCGGUAAGUCGGGUGUGAAAUCUCGGGGCUUAACUCCGAAACUGCAUUCGAUACUGCCGUGCUUGAGGACUGGAGAGGAGACUGGAAUUUACGGUGUAGCGGUGAAAUGCGUAGAUAUGUGGAGGAAUACCGGUGGCGAAGGCGGCCUCCUGGCUUAAUACUGACGCUGAGGUGCGAAAGCGUGGGGAUCAAACAGG
rnacentral:rRNA from 1 species